GACGAACGCUGGCGGCGUGCUUAACACAUGCAAGUCGAACGGAAAGGCCCUGCGUUUGUGGGGUUCUCGAGUGGCGAACGGGGGAGUAACACGUGAGUAACCUGCCCUUGUAUUUCGGGUAACUUCAGGGAACUCGGGCUAAUACCGGAUAGGAGCUCCUGCUGCAUGGUGGGGGUUGGAAAGUUUCGGCGGUUCGGGAUGGACUCGCGGCUUAUCCGCUUGUUGGUGGGGUAGUGGCUUACCAAGGGUUUGACGGGUAGCCGGCCUGAGAGGGUGACCGGCCACAUUGGGCCUGCGAUACGGCGCAGACUCCAACGGGAGGCAGCGGUGGAGAACAUUGCGCAAUGGGCGGAAGCCUGAUGCAGCAACGCCGCGUGCGGGAUGACGGCUUUCGGGUUGUAAACAGCUUUCGCCGGUAACGAAGCGUGAGUGACGGUAAUGGGUAAAGAAGCACCGGCUAACUACGUG
rnacentral:rRNA from 1 species